rnacentral:rRNA from 1 species
AAACAGGAUUAGAUACCCNGGUAGUUCACGCACAUAAACGAUGUUGACUAGUUGUUCGGGGAUUUCAUCCCGAGUAAAGUAGAUAACACGUGAAGUCAGCCACUUGCGGAGUACGGUUGCAAGAUUAAAAAUCAAUGGAAGUGACGCGGACCCGCACAAGCGGUGGAUGAUGUGGAUUAAUUCGAUGCAACGCGAUUAACCUUACCUUCCCUUGGCAUGUCGCUAAGAAAGUAGAGGUACAUUAGGUGAUCGUAAGAGAAAGCAACACAGGUACUGCAUAGCUGUCGUCAGCUCGUGUCGUGAGAUGUUGGGUUAAGUCCCGCAACGAGCGCAACCCUUGUCUUUAGUUAUUACGCAAGAGCACUCUAAAGAGACUUCCGGUGACAAACCGGAGGAGGGUGGGAUGACGUCAAGUCCUCAUGGCCCUUAUGGGUAGGGCUUCCCACGUCAUACAAUGGUGCAUACAGGGGGUUGCCAACCCGCGAGGGGGAGAUAAUCUCAGAAAAUGCAUCGUAGUCCGGAUCGUAGUCUGCAAGUCGACUACGUGAAUCGGGAAUCGGUAGUAAUCGCGGAUCAAAAUGUCGCGGUGAAUACGUUCCCGGGUGGGGUACACACCGCCUGUCAUCCCAUGGGAGUGGGUUCCCCAGAAGCCGUUAGCCUACCCGCA